GAUGAAGAACGUAGCGAAAUGCGAUAAGUAGUGUGAAUUGCAGAAUUCAGUGAAUCAUCGAAUCUUUGAACGCACAUUGCGCCCUUUGGUAAUCCAAAGGGCAUGCCUGUUCGAGCGUCAUUUGUACCCUCAAGCUUUGCUUGGUGUUGGGCGUCUUGUCUCUAGCUUUGCUGGAGACUCGCCUUAAAGUAAUUGGCAGCCGGCCUACUGGUUUCGGAGCGCAGCACAAGUCGCACUCUCUAUCAGCAAAGGUCUAGCAUCCAUUAAGCCUUUUUUUCAACUUUUGACCUCGGAUCAGGUAGGGAUACCCGCUGAACUUAAGCAUAUCAAUAAGCGGAGGA
rnacentral:misc_RNA from 1 species